UACGUAGGUGACAAGCGUUGUCCGGAUUUACUGGGCGUAAAGCGCGCGCAGGUGGUUUCUUAAGUCUGAUGUGAAAGCCCACGGCUCAACCGUGGAGGGUCAUUGGAAACUGGGGAACUUGAGUGCAGGAGAGAAGAGUGGAAUUCCACGUGUAGCGGUGAAAUGCGUAGAGAUGUGGAGGAACACCAGUGGCGAAGGCGACUCUUUGGCCUGUAACUGACGCUGAGGCGCGAAAGCGUGGGGAGCAAACAGG
rnacentral:rRNA from 1 species